UACGUAGGGGGCGAGCGUUGUCCGGAGUUACUGGGCGUAAAGGGCAUGCAGGCGGUCCGACACGUUUUGUGUGACAGCGGGUGGCUUAACUACCCGAGGAUACGAAAGGCGGUAGGACUUGAGGACUCGAGAGGGACACGGAAUUCCGGGUGGAGUGGUGAAAUGCGUAGAGAUCCGGAGGAACACCAAAGGCGAAGGCAGUGUCCUGGCGAGUGACUGACGCUGAGGUGCGAAAGCCAGGGGAGCGAACGGG
rnacentral:rRNA from 1 species